AUUGAACGCUGGCGGCAGGCCUAACACAUGCAAGUCGAGCGGAGCGGCGGACGGGUGAGUAAUGCCUAGGAAUCUGCCUGGUAGUGGGGGAUAACGUCCGGAACCGGGCGCUAAUACCGCAUACUAUCAGAUGAGCCUAGGUCGGAUUAGCUAGUUGGUGGGUGAAAGGCCUACCAAGGCGACGAUACGUAACUGGGCUGAGAGGAGGAUCAGGCAGACUGGAACGGAGACACGGUCCAGACGCCUACGUGAGGCAGCAGUGGGGAAUAUGGGACAAUGGGCGAAAGCCUGUUGCAGCCAUGCCGCGUGUGUGAAGAAGGUCUUCGGAUUGUAAAGCACUUUAAGUUGGGAGGCGUUACCAACAGAAUAAGCACCGGCUAACUUCGUGCCAGCAGCCGCGGUAAUAC
rnacentral:rRNA from 1 species